GGGCACUUAGCUCAGCUGGCUAGAGCAUCUCGUUUACAUCGAGGGGGUCGGGGGUUCGAGUCCCUCAGUGCCCA
rfam:Parcubacteria bacterium GW2011_GWA2_47_8 TY09_C0042, whole genome shotgun sequence.